ACAAGGAUUCCUCUAGUAACGGCGAGCGAACGAGGAAGAGCCCAGCACCGAAUCCUGCACCGUUCUGGUGCUAGGAAAUGUGGUGUUUAGGCCGUGCUUUGCGCUGGUAUGAUUCUCCUCAAGUCCACUUGAUUGUGGCUUCAGGCCCAGAGAGGGUGUAAGGCCCGUGGAGGCGAGUCGUCCGGUGCCCGGCAUGUCCUUAGAGUCGGGUUGUUUGGGAAUGCAGCCCAAAGCGGGUGGUAAACUCCAUCCAAGGCUAAAUACUAGCACGAGUCCGAUAGCGAAGAAGUACCGCGAGGGAAAGUUGAAAAGAACUUUGAAGAGAGAGUUCAAGAGUACGUGAAACCGCUGAGAGGCAAACUGGUGGAGCUCAAAUGGUCUGGAGGAAUUCAGCCCUUCCUACCGGUGAUGGCUACAGUUGUGAGAUCUCACGACUCCGCUGUUAGCUAAUCUACUGGCAGGAUAGGUGCACUUUCUUCUUGACCGGACCACGACCGACGACUUGUCUUGCCUGACAUAAGUGGAAGGUAGCGUUCGCGUUCUGUGAACGUGUUAUAGCCACCUAUUCGGAUUGAGCGAGGCGUUGGAAACAGUUUACAGACGCUUGCCCUUCGGGCUCGUACGUUGUCUCUUUCAGAUGUGUCUUUGGCUUCACUGCCUUGGCAGGGGGGUUGGAGACGCGUCGGUUAGCGGCGGCCUCUGCGAUUGGCGUCGACAGUCUGUGGUUUUGAAGUAGGCAGUCCACCUGACCCGUCUUGAAACACGGACCAAGGAGUCUAACAUGUGCGCGAGUCAUUGGGUUCUACGAAACCUAAAGGCGCAGUGAAAGUGAAGAUUCAUUUUGAUGGAUUGAGGUGGGAUCCUGGGUUACGUGCUCAGGCGCACUACCGGCCCGUUCGACAUGUUUUCAUGCGGGCGGAGCAAGAGCGUACACGUUGGGACCCGAAAGAUGGUGAACUAUGCUUGCGCAGGUCGAAGCCAGAGGAAACUCUGGUGGAGGACCGUAGCGAUU
rnacentral:rRNA from 1 species